CUGUUGCCUCGGCGGGAUCUCUGCCCCGGGUGCGUCGCAGCCCCGGACCAAGGCGCCCGCCGGAGGACCAACCAAAACUCUUUUUGUAUACCCCCUCGCGGGUUUUUUUAUAAUCUGAGCCUUCUCGGCGCCUCUCGUAGGCGUUUCGAAAAUGAAUCAAAACUUUCAACAACGGAUCUCUUGGUUCUGGCAUCGAUGAAGAACGCAGCGAAAUGCGAUAAGUAAUGUGAAUUGCAGAAUUCAGUGAAUCAUCGAAUCUUUGAACGCACAUUGCGCCCGCCAGUAUUCUGGCGGGCAUGCCUGUCCGAGCGUCAUUUCAACCCUCGAACCCCUCCGGGGGGUCGGCGUUGGGGAUCGGCCCUCCCUUAGCGGGUGGCCGUCUCCGAAAUACAGUGGCGGUCUCGCCGCAGCCUCUCCUGCGCAGUAGUUUGCACACUCGCAUCGGGAGCGCGGCGCGUCCACAGCCGUUAAACACCCAACUUCUGAAAUGUUGACCUCGGAUCAGGUAGGAAUACCCGCUGAACUUAAGCAUAUCAAUAAGCGGAG
rnacentral:rRNA from 1 species